AACAGACAGCGAAAAAAAGAAGAAAAAAGAAAAGAAGAAGAAAUAAGAAAAAACAAACUAAGAAAAUUAGGUUCAAAAUGUUCUUCUCUUCAAAUU
rnacentral:ribozyme from 13 species